ACUGAGGAAUGAUGACACUAAAAGGCCGAAUUGCAGUGUGCCCCCUGGCAGUUGGCUCUCUCUGGGUACACGAUGACAAAACCUCCUGAAGCGAACCUCUGGUCUGACCUCAGU
rnacentral:snoRNA from 8 species